UGGGGAAUAUUGGACAAUGGGCGCAAGCCUGAUCCAGCAAUGCCGCGUGUGUGAAGAAGGCCUUCGGGUUGUAAAGCACUUUUAUCAGGAGCGAAACGCUGUCGGCUAAUACCCGGCGGAACUGACGGUACCUGAGGAAUAAGCACCGGCUAACUUCGUGCCAGCAGCCGCGGUAAUACGAAGGGUGCAAGCGUUAAUCGGAAUUACUGGGCGUAAAGCGUGCGUAGGCGGUUUCUUAAGUCUGCUGUGAAAUCCCCGGGCUCAACCUGGGAAUGGCAGUGGAUACUGGGAGGCUAGAGUGUGUCAGAGGGUGGUGGAAUUCCCGGUGCAGCGGUGAAAUGCGUAGAGAUCGGGAGGAACAUCAGUGGCGAAGGCGGCCACCUGGGACAACACUGACGCUGAGGCACGAAAGCGUGGGGAGCAAACAGGAUUAGAUACCCUGGUAGUCCACGCCCUAAACGAUGCGAACUGGAUGUUGGUCUCAACUCGGAGAUCAGUGUCGAAGCUAACGCGUUAAGUUCGCCGCCUGGGGAGUACGGUCGCAAGACUGAAACUUAAAUGAAUUGAC
rnacentral:rRNA from 1 species